UCGACGAACUCUGGUAUUGAUUGGUGCUUGCAUCAUGAUUUACAUUUGAGUGAGUGGCGAACUGGUGAGUAACACGUGGGAAACCUGCCCAGAAGCGGGGGAUAACACCUGGAAACAGAUGCUAAUACCGCAUAACAACUUGGACCGCAUGGUCCGAGUUUGAAAGAUGGCUUCGGCUAUCACUUUUGGAUGGUCCCGCGGCGUAUUAGCUAGAUGGUGGGGUAACGGCUCACCAUGGCAAUGAUACGUAGCCGACCUGAGAGGGUAAUCGGCCACAUUGGGACUGAGACACGGCCCAAACUCCUACGGGAGGCAGCAGUAGGGAAUCUUCCACAAUGGACGAAAGUCUGAUGGAGCAACGCCGCGUGAGUGAAGAAGGGUUUCGGCUCGUAAAACUCUGUUGUUAAAGAAGAACAUAUCUGAGAGUAACUGUUCAGGUAUUGACGGUAUUUAACCAGAAAGCCACGGCUAACUACGUGCCAGCAGCCGCGGUAAUACGUAGGUGGCAAGCGUUGUCCGGAUUUAUUGGGCGUAAAGCGAGCGCAGGCGGUUUUUUAAGUCUGAUGUGAAAGCCUUCGGCUCAACCGAAGAAGUGCAUCGGAAACUGGGAAACUUGAGUGCAGAAGAGGACAGUGGAACUCCAUGUGUAGCGGUGAAAUGCGUAGAUAUAUGGAAGAACACCAGUGGCGAAGGCGGCUGUCUGGUCUGUAACUGACGCUGAGGCUCGAAAGUAUGGGUA
rnacentral:rRNA from 1 species